rnacentral:tRNA from 2 species
CCACACCGUGGCGCGGCCUUCGUCAGGGCCCAGGGCGUCCUGGCUGUCACCCAGAUAGACCAUGUCGAUGUUCACGUUCAUCGGGUGCGGC